rnacentral:rRNA from 1 species
UACGUAGGUGACAAGCGUUGUCCGGAUUUACUGGGCGUAAAGAGCGCGCAGGCGGUCGUUCAAGUCGAGUGUGAAAGCCCCCGGCUCAACUGGGGAGGGUCAUUCGAUACUGAUCGACUCGAAGGCAGGAGAGGGAAGUGGAAUUCCCGGUGUAGUGGUGAAAUGCGUAGAUAUCGGAAGGAACACCAGUGGCGAAAGCGGCUUCCUGGUCCAGCACCGACGUUCAGGCACGAAAGCGUGGGGAGCAAACAGG